GAUGAACGCUAGCGACAGGCCUAACACAUGCAAGUCGAGGGGUAGCAGGAUGUAGCAAUACAUCGCUGACGACCGGCGCACGGGUGAGUAACGCGUAUGCAACCUACCUUCUACAGGGGGAUAGCCCGGUGAAAUCCGGAUUAAUACCCCAUAAAACAGGGACUCCGCAUGGAGAUAUUUGUUAAAGAUUAAUCGGUAGAAGAUGGGCAUGCGUUCCAUUAGCCAGUUGGUGAGGUAACGGCUCACCAAAGCAACGAUGGAUAGGGGAACUGAGAGGUUUAUCCCCCACACUGGAACUGAGACACGGACCAGACUCCUACGGGAGGCAGCAGUGAGGAAUAUUGGUCAAUGGGCGCGAGCUUGAACCAGCCAAGUCGCGUGAAGGAAGACUGCCUUAUGGGUUGUAAACUUCUUUUAUAUGAGAAUAAAAAGAGUUACGUGUAACUUAUUGCAAGUAUCAUAUGAAUAAGCAUCGGCUAACUCCGUGCCAGCAGCCGCCGUAA
rnacentral:rRNA from 1 species